rnacentral:misc_RNA from 1 species
UUAAGUUCAGCGGGUAUCCCUACCUGAUCCGAGGUCAACCGUUAAAAAAAUUAGGGGUUUUGGCAAGUAACCACCGGAACUCUAUAGCGAGAGAAUUACUACGCUUAGAGCCAGACGGCACUGCCACUGAUUUUAAGAGCCGCGAGACCGCGAACCCCAAGACCAAGCCGAGGCUUGAGUGGUUAUAAUGACGCUCGAAC